rnacentral:rRNA from 1 species
CCUACGGGGGACAGCAGUGAGGAAUAUUGGUCAAUGGACGCAAGUCUGAACCAGCCAUGCCGCGUGCAUGAAGACGGCUCUAUGAGCUGUAAACUGCUUUUGUACGAGGGUAAAUCCCGAUACGUAUCUCAGGUUCAAAGUACCGUACGAAUAAGGAUAGGCUAACUCCUUGCCAUCAGCCGCGGUAAUACGGAGGAUUCAAGCGUUAUCCGGAUUUAUUGGGUUUAAGGGGUGCGUAGGCGGUUCGAUAAGUUAGAGGUGAAAUCCCGGGGCGCAACUCGGGCGCUGCCUCGGAUACUGUGGGGCGAGAGUGUAGAUGCGGUAGGCGGAAUGUAUGGUGUAGCGGUGAAAUGCAUAGAGAUCAUACAGAACACCGAUUGCGAAGGCAGCUUACUAAACUACGACUGACGUUGAGGCACGAAAGCGUGGGGAGCAAACAGGAUUAGAUACCCCUGUAGUC